GUAGUCUCACCCCAUAACCCCAGUUUUUAUCCAAAAAAAACCCAAUCUUUUUUUUCAAAACUUUAACCUAACCCUACAAUUUUUAGACUCCAAAUUCACUACGCAGAGCCCCAAAAACCUCAAUUUUCCUUCAAAUUCUGCUCUAUUUUCGAUUCAGUGUUUUGGUUUUGGAUUCAAUUGCUGAUAAAGAUUUGUUUUUGAAAAUGGUGUUAGUGUAAAGUGCUGCUGGAGUUUGAUUUUGAUUUGUUUGUUUGCGAUGACGGGAACGGGAACAGGAACAGGAGGGGAAGAUGUUGAUUACGAGAGCGAUCCGGAGGAAGCGAUGCUGUCGUUGAAGAUGAGGCGGAGAGAGGCAAGUGAUGAUGAGGACGGAGGUGGAGAAAGUGGAAAAACAGAAAAGCCCUUAAGGAGUAUUGAUUCUGAUGAUGAGUCGGAGGGGCAAGGUGCUGCGGCGGUGUACGAGGAUGAUGAGGAGUAUGUAGAGGAGGAGGAGGAGGAAGAAGAAUUGUACGGGGAAGUUGAGGCUGUGGUUGAGGAAGCGGCUGAGGGAGUGAAGGAAGUUGUUGAGCAAGGAGGAGGUUCUACUCCAGGGGUUGUUGAUAGAGAUGAACAUGAUUUGCCGCAGGAAGAAGAGAAAAAAGAAAAUGAACCCUAUGCUGUGCCCAAGACUGGAGCUUUUUAUAUGCACGAUGAUAGGUUUGGAGACAAUGUAGGCGGGCGACAGAAACGAAUGUCUGGCGGAAGAAGGUUAUGGGAAUCAAAAGAUGAUCGUAAAUGGGGCCAUGACAAGUUUGAAGAGUUGACUGUGGAGCAGAGGAAUUACGACGAUGAUAGGAGAAUAUCAAGGGGUCGCUAUCGAGGUCGUGGUAGGAUGCGAGGGGUUGAUAGUGGAGCUUCACAAGGAAGAAAACCCAGAGCGUACAUCAAUGGUAAUGAUCAGACUAAGGAUAAUAACCAGAACAUUCAGAGUAAUCCUUCAAAAGCUAUCAGAGGUCGGGGACCAAGGAGGUACAGACAAUCUUUUAAGGAUAACGCUGACGCACCUCCUCCACCAAACAAGCAAUCUGGUCAGUCCGUUGACAAACCUUCACGUUAUAGCACAAAUGAAGCAUCUGCUUCUGUAUCAGAUUUAGAAAAAGAUGCUGUUACAGCUGCAAAUCAAAGGUCUAUGUCAAGAUUGAAUUAUGCUUCUCCUCCAUUUUAUCCCUCUAGCUCUUCCAGUAAAGAGACUACAAUAACACACAAGAGGGAAAUGCAAACUGAGACAAGUAAUCACAGUGUUCAGCCUUCUCUUUUGGGCGAACGUGCUGCUUCUGCACAAUCAACUGCAAUAAUCCGGAAGGAUCCGAAUGAUUCGUUUGGCAUAAACAAGCUUAAUAUUGAUGAUUCUAUUCCUGCAGUUGCUGGGAAGCCUUCAUCCAGUUUGCAGUUGUCACCGGGGUUGUCUUCAUCAAUGAAGUCUACUCAUCCCCAGGCAUCGAGAGGCCAAGGAAGAGGAUUUAAUGCAUCACCACAUAGGAAUUAUCAAUCGCCUGUGCGCAAUAAUCAAGUCAAUAGUGUUUCUCUGCCAACCCAGCUCCACCCUGCACAACGAUAUUCUGCUCAAAGUCGAGGACAACCUUUUCUGCAAGUAACUGGUCAGCAGUUAGUACAGCAAACGGGUGCUGGAUCUCAAGUUUCAUCUCCCCCCAAAACAGCACAAGUUAUGAAUACUUGUGAACCUGGAGAGCUUGCAUUUACUUCAGAGUCCAAUAAAUUAACGAGUUCCGUGGUUGCAAAAGGGAAAGGCAGUCUUCAGGGUCCUGGAAGGGGAUAUGGGGCUCACAUUGUAGGUGCACCUGGAAACAUGGGUAGUGGUCACAGUAAUCAGAAGUUUUCUGGGACUCCAACCUUUCUUCCAGUCGUGCAAUUUGGAGGCCAGCACCCAGGUGGCGUUGGAGUUCCUGCUGUUGGCAUGGCCUUCCCUGGAUAUGUUGGUCAACCGGGCAAUUCCGAAAUGACAUGGUUGCCAGUUUUAGCUGGUGCUGCUGGAGCACUAGGCACACAAUACUGUUCACCAUAUGUUACUGCGGAUGGUGCUUACCAUCCUCUCCCUAGUGGGCAGAUAUCAUCUCUCGGUGCUGCUCCAAUCAAAGAGAAUAAGACAAGUAAACAAAAUAGUGAACUGAAGCCCCAACAGAGCCCGCCUGAGUUCACAAAUGAUGACUUCAGACUGCGACAGAAGAAUCCUCGCAGAUAUACAGAAAUGAAGUUUGACCAAUGAGAUGGUACGCUGGUUGAAGCAGUUUGAAAUAAGCAAAUUAAGGUCAAAAUCUACAGUUGAAUAUUCCAUCUCUAGUUGCAUGUUGCGAAUCUCUUAAAGAAGUUUGUGGUGCUGCAGCCUUCUCUGUGGCCCUUCGUUUUCUCCAAAAAUGUUGACUGGAGCAUGGGGACAUCUCAUGUAUUAGUAUUUUGAAAUUUCCAGAAAAUAUCAUCCUUAAAGGGCGUGCAUUGUUGCCUUUGAUAAAAUUUUAAAGGGUUUGCUUGACAAUUGCCUGCUCAUGCUGCUUCACUUUGGAAGAUACUCAGCAGCUUGACAGGUGGUUGUUAUCUGUUUAAAUAUGUGGUUCUUGUGGCAUGGUUUCUCGGCAUUGGCAAAUGAUUAAAAGAAGAUACUGGUGAAGGGUUCAGAAGUUGUGCAGCUGCUUUCUAGUAUAUAUAAAACGUUUCUCUUCUAAAUGUACUGUCGUCGGGUCGUUAUGAGUUUUCCAUUUGCAGCUCUAAUUACUGUUGUUAUUAGUAGAUGCUUUUUAAGGUUUGGAAUUUUCUGUUUCAGUCAGGAGAGAGCAUAGCUUACUCAGGUGUUGGGUGAUAAAUUUUCUAUUAAGACAUUGAUUUGUUUCUUGUUUGGUACAAUGGUGGAAUUAGUAAUCGUUCUUGCUAAUAAUAUUACUUUCUAUUCCAGUGUUGGGGGGCAACCACAUAGGAAAUUUUCAGUGUA